rnacentral:rRNA from 1 species
AUGAGAUAUCCCAUAACGUCAAGUUAGUAAGACCCCUUGAAGACGACGAGGUAGAUAGGACAGAGGUGGAAGUGUGGCAACACAUGGAGCUGACUGUUACUAAUAGGUCGAGGGCAUAACCAA